AUUGAACGCUGGCGGAAUGCUUUACACAUGCAAGUCGAACGGCAGCACAGGUGCUUGCACCUGGUGGCGAGUGGCGAACGGGUGAGUAAUACAUCGGAACGUACCCAGUCGUGGGGGAUAACGUAGCGAAAGUUACGCUAAUACCGCAUACGUCCUGAGGGAGAAAGCGGGGGACCGUAAGGCGUCGCGCGAUUGGAGCGGCCGAUGGCGGAUUGGCUAGUUGGUGGCGUAAAGGCCUACCAAGGCGACGAUCCGUAGCGGGUCUGAGAGGACGGCCCACAACACUGGAACUGAGACACUGUCCAGACUCCUACGGGAGGCAGCAGUGGGGAAUUUUGGACAAUGGGCGAAAGCCUGAUCCAGCCAUUCCGCGUGAGGGAAGAAGGCCUUCGGGUUGUAAAGCUCUUUCGGCAGGGAAGAAACGGCUUGGGAUAAUACCCCGGGCUAAUGACGGUACCUGGAGAAGAAGCACCGGCUAACUACGUGCCAGCCGCCGCCGUAA
rnacentral:rRNA from 1 species